rnacentral:rRNA from 1 species
CAGCAGUCGCCACGGGAAUACAGAGGGUGCGAGCGUUAAUCGGAUUUACUGGGCGUAAAGCGUGCGUAGGCGGCUUUUUAAGUCGGAUGUGAAAUCCCUGAGCUUAACUUAGGAAUUGCAUUCGAUACUGGGAAGCUAGAGUAUGGGAGAGGAUGGUAGAAUUCCAGGUGUAGCGGUGAAAUGCGUAGAGAUCUGGAGGAAUACCGAUGGCGAAGGCAGCCAUCUGGCCUAAUACUGACGCUGAGGUACGAAAGCAUGGGGAGCAAACAGGAUUAGAUACCCCAGUAGUCCCUGUCUCUUAUAC